GGGGGCGGGGCGUCAGCUCCCGCGCCGCCAUCUUGCUCCAGGGAAAAGCGGAGGGAGGGGAAGACACUUCAGCUUUUACGGGCAACCCCUCCCGAGCUGAAGUCAACAGUCGCCAUUUUGACAAAGGGCAAGGCUGGUGAGGUGCGCACCGCCAUGCUGGAACUGGCCUUGAGCGGCGAGUGAAGCUAUCGCGGAGCCAUCUUGGGCGUGGGAAAGCCGAUGGCUGCCCUCGCCAGCGCCUCGGAGCCAGUUUCCUGGUUCUGCCCUGCUCUCAGGCUGCCACCAAAUCCUUUGAAGAGUCGGCACAAGUCGGCGCUUUGAAGGAACACAUUCCAGCGCGCUGUGAGAAGGACCUUUGAUCGCCGUGGGGGAAGCGGCAGGGAGCGGCCCUGGGCCCGCGCCAGCCCCGCAGAGGCGCGGCCCGGCUGCCCUUCCCGGGGAAUCCCGGUUGGCCUCAGCUGCGUCAACACGACCCCAGAGAGCGAUCCUGAAAGUGGAGUUUAACGUAUGAGGGGCUGAAGGAGCCUUUCUGUUUUCCGCCUUCAGGGGUGCGCUCUGGGGCAGCCGCAACAAAGCGUGAGCAGCUGAGAUGGUGCCACACGCCCAAGGUCUCCGUGGGGAUAGCCAGAGUGGUCCCUCAGACUCCAGCAUACAAGCAUUCGGCUCAGAGGAAAGUAUUCAGGAGCUCGACAAUCAGCUUGAUUGUCCUAUAAAAUUCUUAAUAGGGAGCUCUCAGUGUGCUGCCGGUGUGUUACAGAGGAGAUGCUUAAUGUGCCUAAAGGAGGAAUGAGGUACCAGAAGAUGCCGUUGCUGAUGUCCUGCGGACGUUGUGGAAAAGCCCAGGUUUUGCACGUUUCUAGCCACAAAGAAUGCUGUUACUCGAGCCUCUGCGGCUCUUGUCAUUUAGGGAUCUAAUGUCUCAGUGAUGACAUUACCUGGCUGACGUUUCCUGUUUAUUUCUUUUUAAAUAACAAUACCAAGCACUCACAAAACAUUUUGUACUUUGCAGCAUUAUCAAGCAUUAACUAAUGAACCUGCUCACACCCAAAUGAGCUAUAUGAUAUCAUUACUACAUGUAGAAGGACAGAGUGACUCCUCAGGGCUACAGUGAGUCAGUGGCAGAGGUAGAAUUGCGCUUAUGGUCCUACUUAACAUUCAUUCCAGCAGACAGUACAGCUUUGCACACCUGGAAGGUUUGCAAAACCAUCAUAAAUUAUUAGUUUGUUAAUUUUGAUAGUUUCUUAAAUAAAUGCAUCAAUUUAUUCCACACAGAAAGCUUCAGCUAUGAAAUUCAGUCUCUUAAUCAUUCAUAGGACCUUAAAAGUGUCAGUUUUCAAAACUCAUAUUUGCAUCCUAUGAUGUGAUGAGUGCCUCCCCUUUUCAGGUGGUACAGAAAAACAUUCUCAGAAUAUGUUUUGAUGGAAUUAAAAGGAUGUUUUGGUGUGACUCUGUGAACUUUAUUCUGCAUUAAGAAUCUUGACCUUGCUAUGAACCUUCUUUACAUAUUUCUCAUGGCCCAAGGACAUAUGAUCUUUGGGCUUUGUAAGCCCAAAUAUAUCCAGUAAAAUUAUUGAGGGCUUAUUCAUUGCUUCUUUUCUAGAUAAGGUAAUUUUCCACUUUUAAUGCUUUUCUAUUUUAGUUUUUUAUUGAUACUACAUUAAUCUCAGCCAACACUAACAACACCUGUGGUUCCAAGAUAGCCAGACAUCUGAGAUACCACGUAUGUCCAGAUUUCAAAAAAACCCUGGAAAACUGUGCUGCUUACAUCAGACAUUAAAUUGUUGCAUAUGGACACAGUCAAGAGUUGAUUUUUACAUAUAGCUUUACUUCCAGAACAUAUAAAAGGCAUUGUAUCCUCUCUUGCUUCCUUUGACCUUUCAGUUCCACUAUCAGUUAUCACAGCAAAAAACUGUAGAAAUGUUUCCACUCUAUUUCUCUAUUUCUAGAUAUUUCUUUAUCAAAGUGUAGGAAUCCUCAGCAAAACAGCAGAACCAGCACACUGGACACCAUUCUUAGUAGGUACCAUGUUACCAAAAGGCAGGCGCAAAGUGAUAAACUUUGUCUAAUGACUUUUCUCUCAAUGAAAAUGAAGGUGUGACUGAAAUUUAUUUUAGAAAUUGAUCUAACCAAGUGGCCUCCCUUUCACCAAACUGGAGGAGGCUAUGAUAAGAGUUUGAGAAUGUCCACAAGUAUGGAAUGAUUUAAUAAUUUAGGCUUCAUGUAACAAGCGCAUCAGUAAAAAAAUUGUGGAUGAGAAAGAAGGAAACAAAUCUCUCCAUCCAGUGAUUAAAUGUUAUAGAGCUGUCUGGUAUUGUUCUCAAGGAAGUCUAUAUGUCUCUAUUUUAGGGGUUUUAAAUUUGUUCAUCUGUUUCAUUUCUCCUUAGCAUCUGAAUCAUUACAGGACAGUUUUUUGUGUUGCCCCACAUUUAAAGUGAAAUUGUACCCAGUUUCUUAAAGAAUUGUAUCAUUCCAAACAGAAUUUAAGAAAAAAUGCACACAGUCAAUUAUUCUGGUCACAGAGGGCAAAGAGAACUGUGCUUAUGUAACAACUUUCCACCUCUUUGAAUAGAAUUACCUGCUAAAAGAAUCGCUCCUGUGAAAGCUGUAUCCAACCUCAGAUUCAGUUUAUAUAAAAAUACGUAAAUAUGCAACCUGUCACAGUGUAUAAAAUUCUGUUAUCCUUUGCUAACUAGAACUAGAAUACUCAAACUUCCCAUAAAUUCUGAAAAUACUUAAUUCUUUUUCCACAAAGUCAUGAAGUCAUUGUGAUGUAUUUUUAGCUCUUCUUAAGUGCAUUCUUACUUGAUUCUGUGAUAAAUUUGUAGGGAAAGGAAAGUGAGGUCCUUCAGUCAAAAAAA